UACGUAGGUCCCGAGCGUUGUCCGGAUUUAUUGGGCGUAAAGCGAGCGCAGGCGGUUAAUUAAGUCUGGAGUUAAAGGCAGUGGCUGAACCAUUGUAUGCUUUGGAAACUGGUAAACUUGAGUGCAAGAGAGGAGAGUGGAAUUCCAUGUGUAGCGGUGAAAUGCGUAGAUAUAUGGAGGAACACCGGUGGCGAAAGCGGCUCUCUGGCCUGUAACUGACGCUGAGGCUCGAAAGCGUGGGGAGCGAACAGG
rnacentral:rRNA from 1 species